rnacentral:rRNA from 1 species
AUUGAACGCUGGCGGCAGGCCUAACACAUGCAAGUCGGGCGAGCGGAGGACGGGUGAGGAAUGUAUGGGGAUCUGCCUGAUGGAGGGGGAUAACUACUGGAAACGGUAGCUAAUAACGCAUACCAUCAGAUGAACCCAUAUGGGAUUAACUUGUAGGUAAGUUAACGGCUUACCUAGGCGAAGAUCCCUUGCUGGUAUUAGAGGAUGAUCAUCCACACUGGGACUGAUACACGGCCCAGACUCCACCGGGAGGCAGCAGUGGGGAAUAUUGCCCAAUGGGCGAAAGCCUGAUGCAGCCAUGCCGCGUGUAUGAAGAAGGCCUUCGGGUUGUAAAGUACUUUCAGUCGGGAGGCGUUACCGACAGAAGAAGCACCGGCUAACUACGUGCCAGCCGCCGCGGUAAUUC